GAGGCCGACGCGGCCGGCGGGUACUACCAGGCGUGUGCCGCGAGGGUUGGUAGGAGCGUCCCGCCUAACCAGGAUUGGAGGGACAUGGACAACGAGAUGGGUCCGUGGGGGCGUCACUCCGUGCCCUGUCCUGGAGUCAGUGGCGCUUUCUGACUCGGGGAACUUGGGCGUGGGAGCUCUCAUUUGGAUGGAGUUUCCAUGAAGCCUGGAUUGCUGACUUGACUACCUGACUCUGACUGCCUGGAAUAACGAGAGCCUCUCUGCCCAUGUUAUGAUGAUCUUCACUGUGUUUCCUCCUAUGUUUCAAUCAUCUUUGUGUCUGAGCCCAGUUUACCCCAGGCCACUACUUUCAGCAUGGUGACCUCCACAGGGAGGCUCAGGAGUCAAAGAUGAAGAUGCCGACAGUGGUGACAGGGAAUGACAAACUUUGCCAGCAAGAAGGGGAGGCAGAGAGCAUGGAGGUGGGAGGGAAUGAGGAUGGAUGGCUGAGGACAGUUCUGGAUGGCAUGGUGCCACAGGCUGUGGACUGUCCCUGAAAGACUGGGAGAGCCAGCUCCCGGGGUCUCCUGACCUCUCUGCUCUUCUGUUUUGUUGUAG
ensembl:lncRNA